CGAGCCGGCCGGGCGGCCGCGUCGGGGGCCUCGCGCCCCCGCCGAGGAAGGUCCGGGCUCCACAGGGCAGGGUGGUCGGUAACGCCGACCCGGGGCGACCCGCGGGACAGUGCCACAGAAAGCAGACCGCCACCGAUCCGUCGGUGGUAAGGGUGAAACGGUGAGGUAAGAGCUCACCAGCGCCCAGGGUGACCUGGGCGGCUCGGUAAACCCCACCCGGAGCAAGGUCAAGAAGGGGAGCCGACGGUUCCCCGCGCAGGCGUCCGAGGGCGGCCCGCCCGAGCCUGCGGGUAGACCGCUGGAGGCCGUCGGCAACGACGGCCCGAGAUGGAUGGCCGCCACCCGCCCUCCGGGGCGGGGACAGAACCCGGCCUACAGGCCGACUCGUCCG
rnacentral:RNase_P_RNA from 1 species